CUCCCUGUGGCUCAGUUGGUAGAGCAUGGUGUUUGCAACGCAGGGUUGUGGGUUCGAUUCCCACGGGGGGC
rnacentral:tRNA from 1 species